UUUCUUGCGCCGUAACCCUAAAAACCCAAAUCGAUAUAUCCCUCCCCAAAUAAGUUUUUCCUUGUUUCAUUUUCAUGCUAUAGAUUUAUUUUCUAUUUCAUUCUAGUUUUGUAUUUCAUUUGACCAUUCACAAUCCAAAUCAAAUUUUGUUUUUCACCUCAAAACCCCAAUUGACAUUCCCCUACAAAAACUUGAAUCGAUUCAACUAUCUUCAUCAAAAUCAAUUUCUAAAGUCACUACCGAAAUCAAUUCUUCUCCUUCCUAAGAUCGUUCUUAUUUCUGUUUUCAAGUGGACGGGACGAGUUUGAAGUAUGCAUUACCCUCUCAUUUUGUUAUCCCUCGGUUCAACUGCGAUCCAACUUCGACAGGUUGAGUUUGUAAAAAAGAGGGUUUUUCUUUUGGAAAAGGGGCUCAAUGUUGAGUACUAGAAAGAAUACUUUGGCUUUAACUGUAACCAUUAUGUUACAAAUACCGCAUGCGGGAAAGUAAAGGAAAGAUAGCAAGUAAGAGAAAAGUUUAGACAGAAUCUAAGAGAUGCUUGAUGUAAACUAAGAGAAAAAUAUAGAAAGCUUUCCGCCCCCCUCAAGAUAGGACCAUGGUUGUUGCGUGCCUUGCUAAAGUUGCUCAGAACAUGGAUUUUUCUAUUGCAGAAUAUAUGGAUGUAAUUCUGUUGAAACAUCUAAAGUCAGAGCUCUUGUAGGCAAAGUUUGUUGUCAUCUAAUUUCAUUAUAGUUAAAUAAACUAAUUAUUUUGUCAUUUUUCUAGACUUAUACUUCUAAGUGUUGAAUUUAUAGUAUUAAGUAAUGUUAGACAUUUUGUGUCUA